UUUCGUUCCAUCGGCACAACAUUUGCUCAGGUCAAUCUACACCCCAUGGCCAUUAAAAGUUAUUCAAAUCAUGACGCUGCACCCCACGGUUUAGGUUCUAGGGGGCGCCAAAGAUAACCCUAAAAUCCACAUAUUUAAAAGUCUUAUAACUUUUUAUUUUUGUCCCCACUGGCCUCCAAGUUUUCUAGGAUGAUGCAAUGUCCAGCCAUCAACACAUUUGUGAAGGAAUUUUUACUCCCCAAAAGAGCGCCCCCCCCAUGGCAGGAGAAAAAAGUCCAUUUUUUCUUGUCCACUAAGGUGAAAAAACACAUUGUUGAGUGCUACGCCUGUAUGUUUUGUCA
rnacentral:lncRNA from 1 species